rnacentral:rRNA from 1 species
ACUCCUACGGGAGGCAGCAGUAGGGAAUCUUCCACAAUGGGCGCAAGCCUGAUGGAGCAACACCGCGUGAGUGAAGAAGGGUUUCGGCUCGUAAAGCUCUGUUGUUAAAGAAGAACACGUAUGAGAGUAACUGUUCAUACGUUGACGGUAUUUAACCGGAAAGUCACGGCUAACUACGUGCCAGCAGCCGCGGUAAUACGUAGGUGGCAAGCGUUAUCCGGAUUUAUUGGGGCGUAAAGAGAGUGCAGGCGGUUUUCUAAGUCUGAUGUGAAAGCCUUCGGCUUAACCGGAGAAGUGCAUCGGAAACUGGAUAACUUGAGUGCAGAAGAGGGUAGUGGAACUCCAGGUGUAGCGGUGAAAUGCGUAGAGAUCUGAAGGAAUACCGGUGGCGAAGGCGGCCCCCUGGACAGAUACUGACACUCAGAUGCGAAAGCGUGGGGAGCAAACAGGAUUAGAUACCCUGGUAGUGUACUG